GGAUGCACACAAUGCAUCCGUAAUGAGAACAGCUAAAGUAAGGCGGAUUUAUGAUAUUGCAAAUGUUUCGUCCUCCAUGAAUCUUAUUGAAAAGACCCACGCAGUAGAUACAAGGAAGCCUGCAUAUAAAUGGUUGGGAUUGAGAGGAAAAGAUGCUACGAGUUCAGCUUCAGACGAGUCUAGAAAAAGAGCCUUUGGAAUAGAUAUCACAAACGUUGUAAGAGGGGCAAAGUAGAAUCUUCUACUGCUGGGAGAUUGGAAGCUCAGAAACAAAAGCAACAUGAGAGUAUAGUACGGCAACGUGAGAGCAUAGUACGUAAGGUUGAUAGGAACAAUUCAGAGGACUCGAAAGAAAAUACAAAGAGCUACCAGUUUGGCACUUUUGCCCCAGUUACUAUUGCCAGAGCUGGGAAUUUCAACAUGAAGAAGGUUGACUGGGACAAUUUUUCCUCUACGUACUUACCGUCCCUAGUAUCAGAAUCAAGGUAUCAUCAUCUUAUGCUUCAGCCUGAUGUGCAGGUAUAUGAUAAGACAUACAAGGCUUAUAUAUAUGGACGCAAGAAAAAGUGAAACUAUUACUAAGCUACCUUGGUUUGUAGAUUACUUGAUUAAUUGAAGAGCAAUGCUCUCUUCAGUACUUGCCUUACAAUUUCAGACAUUCUUUCUUGUUCAGUGUAGAUUAUUUCUUUAGAAAAAGGGUUCUCAAUUUAGUCACUGUGUUAGUGUUCUGAAUUUAAUGAUGUUCUAUUAUUGUUCUGUAUCUCUAUUUAACUAGUUGGUGGUUGGUUACUUGAUACAUAAAUAACAAUAUUACCAGUCUUUGCUUGUGCUUACUACUAUUGUGAAUAUGCCUUUUAAGCUGGCCUUCUAAUUAGUUGUCAUUAA